GCAACUUUAUUGUAUUUAAAGUUUUGAGGGAUAAACCUCUUAAAUUUCUCCAAGUAGAAAUAUAUGUAAACAAAACAAAAGCGAUUUUCAAUUUUUUUUGUAGUUUAUUGCACUUUUUUGCAAUUUAUGUAAUUACUAUGGACUUAAUGCAUACAUAUUAUUAAAAUAUGGGCUAUAACAGUUGUAUUGAUGUAUAGCAACUUGAAAUGCUCCCACAAAUGGCACUACAGCAUGUAAAAAAAAAAAAAAAAGCUCUGGUGGACUUGGUUCUAUAGUAGGUCUUAAAGGGUUAAAUAAAUAUCGUCAAAUAAUCGUGAUCUCAAUUUCAGUGAAAAUAAUCGUGAUUAUCAUUUUUGCCAUAAUCGAGCAGCCCUACAUAAGGCUGCACUUUUUGCAGCAGUCUCGUAUAGAAAACUAUUCCACGCGUAUAUAAAACGUAUUAAAGGUGACCUCUGGCUAAUACUUCGGGUUCUGUGUUGGGCUCGCAAACGAAAACUAGCUUUACUUUAUUGUCUGGGUCAACUUUGCUAGUGAGAGGCAGAGAGAGGCGUUGAAAGGCUGCUCCAACGGAACUUAUUGUUUCAGAGGAAAACGCGAACACAGUGUACUGUUCAGUAGGGCUGGGCUAUAUCAUACCGCUCACGGUAAUACCGGUGUAAUGUUGGGCAACGAUAAGAAAAUGAAAUAUCGCGAUAGAAUAUUGGUAAAACGCGCAUGAGAAGUGCCUAUGUUUACAUACGCACAUGGCAGUGACGCAGAAUGAGAAGAGCGAAAGUGGAUCGUUGAAUGAAACGGAUUAAACAGAAUUGGUUUGUAAAAAUGCUGCAAUGUCAGUGGUGUGGAACUGGUUUGGCUUUCGUCCGUCAGAUAUUCAACAAAGCACUAUUUUUGGUAGUGCAUGCUAGUGGGCCGUCGUUAUAGCCGUGUUUUUUUUUUUUUGGAAAAUAUGGCACACUUAAAAUCAAUCCUUUGAUUUUCUGAAAAUCGACAGUUCCCCUUAUAAUCCCGUGUGCCUUAUGUAUGAAUUCUGGUUGUGUUUACUGACCUGGAAACGAUUUUAUGUGGUACACGGCGCUCGAAAAUCUGUCAAAUGUUUCAGUACGACUUUGCUAAGCUACGAAGCCGCACCGCUUGAUGGAUUGUCGGAGCAUUACGGCUAUUGUAGGAAGGCGUCUCGCGGAGUGAUAUGUGCUGUGCUUCAACAUAAUAUUACCGUAUUGUGUGUGUAUAACCUCUUUUUAAGUUUUGUGGAUAUUAUACAUGGUUAUGCUGAGGAUAUGUCGGCCAAUUUCCACUGGAAAUGCCUUUUGGUUAAACUGUCAGCAAGGAAUUUGCACUGUAAAUUUUUUCAUAUAACUGUAAUGCACUUUAAAAAAGCUGCUUGUUUAAGUGAAAAUACAUUGAUGUGUUGUUUUUUUUUUUGCACUAAUAAAGUUGAGGAGUUGUACAGUAUUUUGUCUAGUGUCAAUUAUAUCAUCACUUAUAUCGUUAUCGCCAAUUUUCAAAUGUAUAUCGUGAUAAAUAUUUUUGGUCAUAUCGCCCUGCUCUACUGUUCAGUCUUAAUAGCUUACUUAAAACUGGGCUAAACUGCCCAUGAGACUACAUUCUUUAAGGCUAUGCCUGUUACGCUCUGCCUAUUGCCUUCAUAUUAAAUAAUUUUUAGAACAAUC
ensembl:lncRNA